rnacentral:rRNA from 1 species
CCCAGAUCGUUUACCGUGAAAAAAUUAGAGUGUUCAAAGCAGGCAGACCAUUUCUUCUGCCACCGAAUACAUUAGCAUGGGAUAAUGGAAUAGGACCCUGUCCUCCUAUUUUGCGUGUUGGUUUUCGAGGACCGGGUAAUGAUUAAUAGGGAUAGUUGGGGGCAUUAAUAUUUAAUUGUCAGAGGUGAAAUUCUUGGAUUUAUGAAAGAUUGACUUCUGCGAAAGCAUCUGCCAAGGAUGUUUUCAUUAAUCAAGAACGAAAGUUAGGGGAUCGAAGACGAUCAGAUACCGUCGUAGUCUUAACCAUAAACGAUGCCGACCAGCGAUUAGGAGACGUUGAAUACAAAACACCACCGUCGGGUCGGCCGUCCUUGGCCGUCGUGCGCCGCGACGCGCGCGGCGGCGAGGGCGGUGUCUGCCCGACGGCCCGGUGAAUGACUCCCCUAGCAGCUUGUGAGA